rnacentral:rRNA from 1 species
UACAUGGGGUGCAAACGUUGCUCGGAAUCAUUGGGCGUAAAGCGCGCGUAGGCGGCUACUUAAGUCGGAUGUGAAAGCCCUUGGCUCAACUGAGGAAGUGCACCCGAAACUGAGUGGCUUGAGUACUAAAGAGGGUCGCGGAAUUCCCGGUGUAGAGGUGAAAUUCGUAGAUAUCGGGAGGAACACCGGUGGCGAAGGCGGCGACCUGGGUAGAUACUGACGCUGAGGCGCGAAAGCGUGGGGAGCAAACAGG